GGGGUGCUCGAGUGGCGAACGGGUGAGUAACACGUGAGUAACCUGCCCUUGACUUUGGGAUAACUUCAGGAAACUGGGGCUAAUACCGGAUAGGAGCUCCUGCUGCAUGGUGGGGGUUGGAAAGUUUCGGCGGUUGGGGAUGGACUCGCGGCUUAUCAGCUUGUUGGUGGGGUAGUGGCUUACCAAGGCUUUGACGGGUAGCCGGCCUGAGAGGGUGACCGGCCACAUUGGGACUGAGAUACGGCCCAG
rnacentral:rRNA from 1 species